UACGUAGGGAGCAAGCGUUGUCCGGAAUCAUUGGGCGUAAAGCGCGCGUAGGUGGCUUCGUAAGUCCGUUGUGAAAGUCAAAGGCUCAACCUUUGAAAGCCGAUGGAUACUGCGGAGCUAGAGUACGGAAGAGGCGAGUGGAAUUCCUGGUGGUAGCGGUGAAAUGCGCAGAUAUCAGGAAGAACACCCGUGGCGAAGGCGGCUCUCUGGUACGUGACUGACGCUGAGACGCGAAAGCGUGGGGAGCGAACAGG
rnacentral:rRNA from 1 species